rnacentral:rRNA from 1 species
UGCGUAGGCGGUUCGUUUUGUGGGUGGUGAAAUCUCCUGGCUCAACUGGGAGGGUGCCAUCCAAACGGGCGAACUUGAGGCGUGGAGAGGGACGUGGAAUUCCGGGUGGAGCGGUGAAAUGCGUAGAGAUCCGGAGGAACACCGACGGCGAAGGCAGCGUCCUGGCCACGACCUGACGCUCAGGCACGAAAGCUGGGGGAGCAAACAGGAUUAGAUACCCUGGUAGUCCCAGCUGUAAACGAUGUCCACCAGGUGCUGGAGGUAUCGACCCCUUCGGUGCCGAAGCUAACGUGAUGAGUGGACCGCCUGGGGAGUACGGCCGCAAGGUUAAA